AUACGGAGGGUGCAAGCGUUGUUCGGAAUCACUGGGCGUAAAGGGCGCGCAGGCGGUUUGGUAAGUCAGAUGUGAAAGCCCACGGCUCAACCGUGGAAGUGCAUUUGAAACUGGCAGACUUGAGUACCAGAGGGGAAAGUGGAAUUCCCGGUGUAGAGGUGAAAUUCGUAGAUAUCGGGAGGAAUACCGGUGGCGAAGGCGACUUUCUGGCUGGAUACUGACGCUGAGGCGCGAAAGCGUGGGGAGCAAACAGGAUUAGAAACCCCAGUAGUCC
rnacentral:rRNA from 1 species